GCCUCUAUAGCUCAGUGGUAGAGCGCUUCACUCGUACUUCUCUCUCUUAACCUUCCUCUCUUCUCCAAGACAGGAACCGAAUCUGAAGAAGAAAAUUCGAAUGAAGAGGUCAUUAGUUCGACUCUGAUUGGAGGCA